rnacentral:rRNA from 1 species
UACGGAGGGGCUAGCGUUGUUCGGAAUUACUGGGCGUAAAGCGCACGUAGGUGGCUUUGUAAGUUAGAGGUGAAAAGCCCGGGGGCUCCAACUCCGGAAUUGCCUUUAAGACUGCAUCGCUAGGAACGUCGGAGAGGUAAGUGGAAUUCCGAAGUGUAGAGGUGAAAUUCGGUAGAUAUUCGGAAGAACACCAGUGGCGAAGGCGACUUACUGGACGACGUGUU